rnacentral:sRNA from 1 species
AUGUACCACGUGUACAUCCGGACUCUGAGCGCCCUGUCCACACCCGCCUGGCCGCUACUGGCUGCGGUUUGUUGGCC